GGCAGAGGAGGAAUAAAUCAAAAUCCCUCCCAAACAAGUGUUUGACCAUCCUCGGUGCUGCUGUGAAUCCUGUGGGUUUGCUGCUGGGAAGGGGGUAGAGGGAAGGGAGGUUCUGGGUCUGUCCUGGACCCUCUGAUGAGGUUGUCACCAAAGGUAAGGGAUGGUGGGAGCUGUUUAUCCUCGGCCACAUCUUCAGCAGGUUCUGGGAUCUCUGAGUGGACCUUUGGAAGGGCUCAGCAGGACUGGGCUCUGCUGCAGGUGCUGAUUUCAGGAGGGGGAUCAAGCUCCUGAGGACUCCACGGUGGGAGAUGACCAUUCUGCACACAUGGCCACUGGUGUGCCGUUAUUGGUGUGAAUUGUCACCUUUUUGUGAGCCUUUGGCUGCAUUUGCUGCACUUGUCUCUGCUGCUGGGUGGAGGAGAUGUGCUGCCCUGUGAAGAAAUGAUUCUCCCCUGCAGAUGGAUUUAAACUGUAGCCCUACACGUCAGAAACCAGUGCGACCAGUACUGACUGAACAACUGGGACAGUAGCAUCUUAAGCAAGGAAUUGGCUGGUGCUGCCUGCUCCCCUGGACGUGUCCAGCAGCACGGCCAGGACCUCUGCUCGGCAGCAGCAAGAAUAAUCCCACUUUGUGGUCCUUCAUCUCAGCGUGGUCCUGGCUGCUUAAUGCUGGAUUUGGGAAUAUCUUGCAGCUGUGCUACCUGGGAUGUGCUCAGAUACCCUUGGAUGUUCCUGCAGGAGGCCUGGAGAACAAGGUCACUGCUGUCCUCUCCUCCUGACACUUGCUUUGCUACAGUUUUUGGUACUUUGUACUGAAAGGAGCAGAUGCCACCAGCCACAAUAGCACUUGGACUGUCCUUGUGCCCAGAAUUAAGGAGACAAGACUCUGACAGGCUUGUGUCUUCUCCCCCUCCACCAAGCAAGCGGUCCUGAGCCGAGAGGAUUUGUCUCUGGAUGGUUUGUCUCUGCUGGGAUCCCUGGAGCCAUAAGCCCAUGGACUGGUGUGGGUUUGGGAUGCUCCCUCCUGUCUGUAGCUGGGAAUGUCACGGCCGGAGGCUGCAGACGCUGCUUCUCUCAAAAUCUGGUGGAUUACUUCUUGUUGGUGUGGGUUUAACUGAUCUGGUGGAACUGGCUUCGUUACAUGAACUCUCCUGAUUGUCAGACGUGGAAAAGCAGCAGUUACAGCCUGAUGCUCCAGCUCCCUCUUUUUUUGGGCUACUUACUUUGAGCAUCGUGGCUCUGGAGGAGGAAGGAGUCCGUGGGCAUGUGUAGGACAAAUCCUGCUGGUCUUAGGGUCCGCGGUGAAAACUUGGGGCAUGGGAACCUGAGAGGACACAACCAAGGUGCUGGGCACCGAUUGUGGCCAAAACAUCCAGGAGUCCCCUCCUGAGGAUGGGCACUUCAGCUGUGAGCAUGGAAGAAGGGAUGUUGGGGACCGCUGAGCUCGAUGGGGAGCGAUGGAGCAUCAGGGGCUGUGGUGAGACCCUUCACCCACCACUAAAACCAGCUUCCCCACCAGCUGUCCCCCGUAGCCUUGCUGGGCUCCUCGACCUCAGCCCCACAAGGGGGUUUUUCCUCCGGCGCUGACCUUGCUCCCACCUCCCACGCGGAGCCGAAAGGACUUAAUUAGCUGUUCUCUGCUGGGCUUUGGAAAUUAUCCUCUUGGCCGGGAAGUGCUGGAUGGAUGGAUGGUGAAGGGCUCUUGGGUCAAACGGUAGCUCGAUGCUUUUCCCUUGAAGGACCAAGUGCUUGCCUGGUUCCCAGAAACCAGCUGUGGAUUUUUUGAUUUUUUUUUUUUAUCUCUCUGCUCUUCUGUUGGAUGAAAAAAAAACGGGGUUUCAGGCUUUUCGUGAGGACGGCUGGACCCAGCCCGCAGCUCGGUGCCGAUGCCUGGAGGCAUGAAAACCUUUGGAGGAGCCAUGGGGUGGAAGCUCUGCUGACCAUCGUGGUGCCCUGGGGUUUAAAACUGUCUGGCAAAGUCUUGUCUUGUGCCAGGAGUGCUGGGUGGCCUCGGGGGGACCUUCUGCCAUGGGUGGUUGAGUGUCCUCAUCCCCAGCACAUCCCCUAUGGAUCCCAGGUGGGGCUGGGAGUGGGCGCAGGAGCUGGGGGUGCCAAACCUCAGCGAAGGGGAACGUCAAGACAGGGGGGGAAAUGUCACCCUCAGAAACAAUUAAACCUCUUAAUAAAACCCGUUGCCUCUGUGA